GGAACUGAACACAGAAGCAGUUGCAGGAAGCAGUUGGUGAACUCUGGAAGAGUGAAGCUGCUUUUCUCUGGCAGUCAAGAGAGACCAGGGUUGAUAUCUGUUAUUUCUGGGGAGGACCCAGAGAGCCAAUGGUCCCUUUUACUUUGGGCUUCUUUGUUUCCUGCCUGUCCUUGAAACUGGAGCUGCUGCUACUGCUGUGGAGAAGAUUUCAUCUUAGCUGUUACUGGGAUUGCUGCUUGACACAAAGGAGGAUUCUGGAGGCAAAUGACCUGGAUAGACCUUGCUUAAGAAUUUCCCUUGGAAGCUGUGCAGAAAAAAAUAUAUUGGAGAGAGUAGAGACUAGAUACAGAGAGACCAACUCGGAAUCUAUUACAACAGUCCAGAACUGAGGUGAUGAAG
rnacentral:lncRNA from 1 species